rnacentral:lncRNA from 1 species
CCGCUGGCUCCGCCCACCGCGUGGUCCAAGAACCACCACCCCCCACCGCCGCGCGAGCGUACUAUUGCGGCCGCCCUCUGCUGUGCCUGAAGACAGAAGCGACUCUACAAGCCUCACAGCAUGCACUGUUACUAAAAAGACGAUGCGUCCUCCUGGAGCUGAGAUCUGUGUGAUCGUGGGAAAGCGACGAAAAACGAACAAAGGAACAGUAAAUGGAGUAACUUGGCUAGAAUAUGGCAGUAACUACAAGGCAUGUUCUGCUCUGGCACGAAGACAACCCACCUGAGGCACCAGACACAUGAGUGAAGCCAUCUUGGACAUCCCAGUCACAGCCAAACUCACUCCUGAGUGCAUCUGCAUGAUGAACCCAGCAAUCCCCACCAUGGAGCAAAGGAUCCAUCCAGUCAACCCAAAGAAUCGUGA